CAGUAGCCGCGGUAAUACAGAGGGUGCGAGCGUUAAUCGGAUUUACUGGGCGUAAAGCGUGCGUAGGCGGCUUCUUAAGUCGGAUGUGAAAUCCCUGAGCUUAACUUAGGAAUUGCAUUCGAUACUGGGAAGCUAGAGUAUGGGAGAGGAUGGUAGAAUUCCAGGUGUAGCGGUGAAAUGCGUAGAGAUCUGGAGGAAUACCGAUGGCGAAGGCAGCCAUCUGGCAUAAUACUGACGCUGAGGUACGAAAGCAUGGGGAGCAAACAGGAUUAGAUACCCCGGUAGUCCCUGUCUCUUAUAC
rnacentral:rRNA from 1 species